UACGAAGGGGCAAGCGUUGUUCGGAUUUACUGGGCGUAAAGGGCGCGUAGGCGGCCAGCACAAGUCAGUUGUGAAAUCUCCGAGCUUAACUCGGAAAGGUCAACUGAUACUGUGCGGCUAGAGUGCGGAAGGGGCAACUGGAAUUCUUGGUGUAGCGGUGAAAUGCGUAGAUAUCGAAGAGGAACACCUGCGGCGAAGGCGGGUUGCUGGGCCGACACUGACGCUGAGGCGCGAAAGCCAGGGGAGCGAACGGG
rnacentral:rRNA from 1 species